rnacentral:rRNA from 1 species
GACGAACGCUGGCGGCGUGCCUAACACAUGCAAGUCGAACGGAGACAAUCGCUGAUUUGAUGAUAGCUUGCUAUUGGAUUUUCUUGGUUGUCUUAGUGGCGGACGGGCGAGUAACGCGUGAGCAACCUGCCUUUCAGUGGGGAAUAACGUUUGGAAACGAACGCUAAUACCGCAUAACGUAGCGAGGUCGCAUGGCCAUGCUACCAAAGGAGCAAUCCGCUGAGAGAUGGGCUCGCGUCCGAUUAGCUAGAUGGUGAGGUAACGGCCCACCAUGGCGACGAUCGGUAGCCGAACUGAGAGGUUGAUCGGCCGCAUUGGGACUGAGGCACGGCCCAG